GACGAACGCUGGCGGCGUGCUUAACACAUGCAAGUCGAACGAUGAAGCCUUUCGGGGUGGAUUAGUGGCGAACGGGUGAGUAACACGUGGGCAAUCUGCCCUUCACUCUGGGACAAGCCCUGGAAACGGGGUCUAAUACCGGAUAACACUCUGUCCCGCAUGGGACGGGGUUAAAAGCUCCGGCGGUGAAGGAUGAGCCCGCGGCCUAUCAGCUUGUUGGUGGGGUAAUGGCCUACCAAGGCGACGACGGGUAGCCGGCCUGAGAGGGCGACCGGCCACACUGGGACUGAGACACGGCCCAGACUCCUACGGGAGGCAGCAGUGGGGAAUAUUGCACAAUGGGCGAAAGCCUGAUGCAGCGACGCCGCGUGAGGGAUGACGGCCUUCGGGUUGUAAACCUCUUUCAGCAGGGAAGAAGCGAAAGU
rnacentral:rRNA from 1 species